UGACGUGAGCAAAUCAGGUCCUGCAGAGACCUUGUGUGCGUUGCCUGUUGUGCCAAUUAACUCUGUUUACAUCCAGUCACGCUUUCCCAUCGGAGCAACUACCUUAAUUUUUGUGCCAGCGCGGGAUUAAAUGCUGCGUUUUCGUCUCCACUGGUAGCAAUGUUCAAAUCAAAGACGGCGGCGGCAUCAAAGAAAGAACAACAACAACCCACAACACGUAGAGAAACACAUUUCUCAAGGACACGUGGAGUAGUCUAAUGCCCGAAAAUUCGUCAAUAAACGGA